AAAGGUAGAGGCGCGGCUGCCAAGAGUAGUUUGGGCGUGAUGAGAUCUAUGCAGGAUCGCUGCCCGGAUGAAAGGGGGUGCCGCCGAAGCGGAAAGGGUUGCAGCCUUCCCGCUGGGCAAACGGAGAAUAUCCGUUUGACUGUCGCAGGGAUGCGGAGAGCUAUGC
rnacentral:ncRNA from 1 species